UUAUUUCUUGAAACUUCUGCAAAUUAAGCGUGACGAUUAAGUUUCGCUGGAUAGGAACCCGGCACAUGUCGGGCGGAGCAGAAAUUUUGAAAACCAUCAUUUUAAGAGU
ensembl:ncRNA C06B8.14 ncRNA